GUCGGAAAGGCGGCCGUGGCAGGGUUUCUCCCGCGGAUGCCGGGUUUCUCCGAGGGUAGCCCGUGGCGCGAGAAGACGCCUUCCAGUCCCUGGCCGCGCGGUGGCCCCGCGAGGGUAGCAGGGCCUGGGGUAGGCCAUCCUGGGCCGCCACCUCCGGGAGCGGCGGGUGGCAUCAUCGGGCCAGACGGAGGGACCCUAUGGCUCUGGGGACGAGCAGUAAGGAUAACUGGUCUCUGCUCUCUCAAGUCUCUGGCGCAGUCUCCGGGAGUUAGAAAAUCGUCCCGGCGCUCACCGGGGCGCCCCCGCCGCCGUGGUGGUGCUGGUGGUGGUGGUGGUGCGGCUGCGGGGUCUGCGCCGGGUGCAGCAGCGGCGCAGCGGCCUGCAGGUGCGAAGCGGAGCCCGAGGCCUGGUGGUACCACGGGUAGUUUCCCAGGAAAGCCGAGGCGGCGCUGCUCGGGCUGGAGCCGGAGCUGCCCGCGCCGCUGCCGCCGCUGCCCGGGCCGCCGCCGCCCCCCAUCCGCUGCGGCGCGCCGAAGUCCCAGGAGGUCGGCGCCGAGGCCGGCGGCGAAGCACAAGGUGGCGAGGCGCUGGCCCCCGGGUGCUGCUCCGAAGGGAUCUCACCGCUCUUCCACAUUUUCUUGAACUUGGAUCGGCGGUUCUGGAACCAGAUUUUGACCUUUGUGGAAAAGGGACCUGAGCAUUAAUGGAGGAACCUCGGCCUGGGGCAGGGGAGGGGAGGAAGCUUAGGAAGACAGCUGGUAAGAGGCGGACACCCUGGGCAGGUAAGCCGAUCACGUGCCGCGGCCUCAGAGGGUCUGUCGGUUCCUGCUCCAAUGGGAGGUAUUCUCAAAAAACCCGAGAGAGCUGAUGUGUGUGCACUUCGGUGAUGGUGACAGCGGAGGCAGUCAGGAGGGCCACUUGUUUUACCCGCUUAAUAAGUAGUACGCGGAAGGACAACUUGCUACCGGAUUUCUGCCUACCCCUGUCCUAUCCUUUUCUCACACGAGGUGGCACCCUGGGGGAUUUCAGCUUCGGGCGUGGAGGUUUAGGCCGCCCAAGGCGCAGGCCUCGAAAUCCUUAAAAGUACUAUAAAAAAUACUUUAAAAAACAUAGUCCUAAACCUGCCUGCUUCCUGGCCAUCUCAGGCCAGCGCCCUCCUCGUGCCUCCCAGGCCGCGAGCCCUCACCUGAGUCUGGGUGAGGCCCAGAGACGCCGCCAGCUCAGCUCGCUCGGGCAGUGCCAGGUACUGAGUCUUUUGGAAACGCCGCUGAAGAGCCGCCAGCUGGAAACUGGAAUAGAUGGUUCGGGGUUUCCGGACUUUCUUUGGCUUCCCGUUUACUAUCCGGAUUUCAGGUUCGAGGUCCUCUUUCUCUGCAAUAAAAUGGAAUCGUGAGAACCGCGCAACCGCGGGAGCCCAGGAGUUCCCAUCCCGCCGGGAGAGCAGCGUGGAACUUGGCCUAAGCCGGGAAGCGGGUUCUUGGAGACGCUGCGCGGCGCUCAGGCACAACUUUGCAACGCGCGGACCCGCGCCGCCAACGAACCCGCGCCGCCAACGAACCCGGGAGUCGGCCCCUCCAGGGAAAGGGAAGACAGGCGCAAACCGGGGGAGAAAGGAGCAGCAGGUGGUAGGGAGAUGAGGUUGUCGUGAGGCCACCCGCCGAGGCCACCUGGUCCCACCAGCCGAGUACCCGGGUACCCGAGGGACGUACCCGGUGACCCUCGGCCAAUUGAAAGUUGAGGAGGGUAAAGGGCGCGAGGCGAGCGGGAAGCAAUCAGUGUGAAAGGCCAGGGCUCCAGAUGGAUCCCCGUCCCAAACAUUUUUAUCCCACCCAUCCCAGGAACUAGACCGACUUGGCACCCUUGACGCGAAAGUUAUGCUUACCAGGUUCGUUGUUGGCCGGGGACGAACUGGUCCCGUAGGGCGCGUAGGAGGUGUAGGCGGCGGUGUAGCCCAGGUCGUAGCCGCUCUUGGCUGAAUAAGGGACGUUGUUGAGGCCGCUGGCGUGGUACUGGUAGGAGCCCAUGUGCGCGUAGGGCGAGCCCCCAGCGCCGCCGCCGCCGCCGCCGCUGCCCGCCGGGUGUUGCUGGUUGGUGUAGUAGCUGCUGUCUGUAGCUGUGGACACCGGGAGUGUGGGCGACUCCUGAGGCUUGUGGAGGCUGCUGCCGUUGCUGCCGCCGGGGCCAGCGCCGCCGCCGCUCGGGGGCUGCUGUUGCUGGUGGUACGUGCUGGAGGCCGUGAUCUGGGUCGAGUGCAUAUCAGCCACCAGACUGUCAAAGACUCCAGUCAUCCUGGCCCGGGACGGGAAAGAGCAGGGGUGGCGGGCGCGAGGGGGGUUGCGAGGCGCCUCCUCCGUCUCUCCCUGUCCCCUCCAGCAGCCAAUGUAAUUACAGUGGGGGAGGGGGGAGGAAAACAAGAAAUGCGGCAAUGGUCUAGGCAACUCCUCCUCCGGGGGAGGCGAUCACCGUGCACUGCUCGGGACAGCUGCCUCCGGCCGCAUCCUCUCUCCGCCUCUCGGGCUGCUCGGCUCCUUGCCCAGCGCGGGCUCGGGCUCGGGGCGGGCAGUGGAGGGGGCAGGGGUGGCGGGGCCUGGCCAGGGCUCCGGGAGGAGAUGAGAGCAGGACACGCAGCAGCGUCAGGACUCGAACGCAGGUCCGGGCCACAGAGGCAAGGCCGCUGCUGCCGGGGUCCGGUUUCAGGCCUGCGGGUCACGGGAGAUCGCCGCGGCACACCCACCUCUCCCGGGCCAGGGGCUCCGAGGCAGCGGGACCGCUUAGGAAGGGGCCCUGCGGCCCCAGGAGCGGACUGGAAGGAGAGGCUUCUCCGGGAGACUAGCCUGCGCGGGCACUACUCGCGACCCGGGAUGAUCCCGGAACAGACUCGAGGGUCACUGUUCGGUGCGGGGAAGGCGGGCGCCCCCUCCCGCUCCGCCCGCGAACCGCAGCUCCGCGCAAGUGUUUUGUCCCCGCUGAGUUGCCGCACCUCCGCUCCCUGCUCGAGUGAGUAAACCCAAAAGGGCUUGGCGAGAGUGAGCCGACGCUCAGCGUUCACAGUCCCGAACCUUCCGCGGCUGCCUUCUUCCGCUGCCCACAGAUUUCACAGCCGUUUCCAGACACAGGAAUGCUUUUGAUGCAGCAACAUCCUCCACAGCCCUGGAAGGGCUGCCGUGAUUGCUGAGUUAAUACGAGUGAAGGCACAGAAGAAUGGCUGACAUGCCGUAAGUGCUGGCAAUAGAGCUGUGGCUGGUUGUGCUGUGGAGUGCAUCUAGAAGGGAUAUGUGCAACACUGACCUCGCUUGCUUCAGAGGAAAUCUUUGUUUCUAGAUGUCCACUCUUUACCCCUGCAGCAGGCUGAAGUAUCAUUAUUAUCCCAAUUUUACCUACAAGAAAACCAACGCUACACUGCCAAGAAGGCUCAGAAGAAAAGACCUGGAGGACUUAGGGAAAGGACCACCCCGUGCUGCCAGAGGUAACUGAGUCAGACCCACAAUGGGUCAAGUGGGUCUUACCACUUUAGUGCACAUCACAUUCACCUGGGGGCUUGUUAAACAAUCUGAUCUCCAGCCCCUACUCUGAGAGAUUCUAAUUCAGAAAGCCUGGGAUGGUGCCGUGAGCCUACAUUUUGAACAAGCACCCAGUGUUUCUGCCGUGAACCUCACUUUCAGAAGCAUUGACCUAGAUCUCUUCAGCUAGUCAGUACUUUUACUGGCUGGUUCAAGUGUUUUCCAGGAAAGAAGCUUUUCAGGACCUGGAAGAGCUGUAAUAAUUGAGGCACAAAAGAAUAAUUUAAAAGAGCCAACUGGCAGGGAAAUGCAGUAUGGUGAUUCUGGAGAGAAAAGCCUGGCUCUGUGACUCUGAACUGCAGCUUCCCCCUCUUCCUUGUGCCCAGACCUCAGGCCUGGGUCACCGUAGGCCCUAGGUGACAGCGUGUCAAGGUAGUGCAGGCUUCGAAGACAAUCGGGGCAGGAGUGCCUGUGUCGUAGCAGUGGGAUUUGGAACUUGACCGUGCUUAUCAACCAAACAGAGGCAGGACCUUUGACUGAACACACCAGCAGCCAUGGCGGUACAGAUGGCCCACAAAGAGAGGUGGCAGCAGGGCCAGCCAGAGAGUCAUGGGAGAACCCUGCGGGCAGAUAACGAGCCGGGUGGGGCCUGGGCUUGGCAACCUCUCUGCUGGACAUUUGUGAGGCCUGUUGGCCAAACCUCGCAUGCAAGGCCUGGGAGCCGGGCCAGGCUGGCCUGUCCUAUUAGACUGGGAGAAAAAAAAUAGCCUGGUCAAGCCUAGGGGAUCUUUGGACUAAGAUCAUUUUUUGUAACCACGCCCAACCUUUGUUUCAUCUGGAAACUGAAGGAGCUGUGUUGGAAGAGGCUCCCUGAGGUCCCUCCAAGUCACCUCGUUUUGUGAUUGAAUGCAGUCAUCUCCACGACCAAGUCCUUAUAAACUGGAAGCUGUUCUUCGUGGGCACAUCUAUAAGCUUCCUGUCCUCUACAAAUUUGAUAAGCAUGCCUCCUGUGUCUUCAUUUCAACUCUUUGAUAACAAGUGAACCCAGACGUCAGUUGACGUCACCCUGUCCUUUGAGAUGGAAAGAAAAUUAGCUCAAGACCCCAUCACACAUCCUGUGGGAAGUCAGAUGCCCUCCCAAAGAUCUUUGCAAACUCCCAGCACUUUGGUGGUCACUUGUGUUUCCACGUUCCUCCUCCUGCUGGCCUUGGGGUCACCCACAUCCCACCUCUGUGGCUGCUCUGUCCUCUCAGGUUCAUGCCGACCAGGUCCUUUCCCUGAUUUCUUUCAAGAAACAAAACAUUUAGGAGUGUGGCAGAUUUUGCGCAAGACUUGCAGAGAUGGGGUGUGUUUGUGUGUGUGUGUGUGUGUGUGUGUGUGUGUGUGUGUGUAGGGGGGUUCCUGUACAGAAUAGGUACUCAAACAGAUUUAAUAGAUGUCUUCUUUCUGUCCUUGAAAGUCCCUCAGUAACAACAACACUAGGACCUUCUUCCCGGUCUCUUUUCCCCAAGUGCUCCUCAAACUACCCAGAGAAUCAAGAUCCUAGGAUUUCAUUAACAGCCUUUGUUCUGGCCAGGGUUGGUGGAAGAGAGUGGGGCGUGGGGAGAAUUAAGGGCAGACCCUGGGCAAAUUUGUGAGGAGUCAAAGUUUGUUUAAGAUGUUCCCCAUACUUCCUUUUAAAUUAAAAUUUAAGAAUAUAUUUUAUUUAACCUAAAACAACCAAAAUAUUAUUUCACCAUGUAUUAUGGGCUGAAUUGUGUUCCCCCCAAAUUCAUGUUGAAACCCUAACCCCCCGUACUCAGAGUGUGACUGUAUUUGGAGAUAGGGUCUUUACAGAGGUAAUCAAGUUAAAAUGAUCAUUAAGGUGGCUCUAAUCACCAAGGUGGGUCAUCAAGGACACCUGACUGGUGUCCUUAUAAGAAGAAGAGAUUUGGACACACAAGAGAGACAUCAGGGAUGUUUAAGCACCAAGAAAAGACCAUGUGAAGAGGGAGCAAGUGGGAAGCCAUCUGCAAGCCAAAGAGAGAAGCCUCAGAGGAAACAAACUCUGCUGGCACCUUGAUCUCGGACUUCUAGCCUCCAGAACUAUAAGAAAAUAAAUUUCUGUUGUUUAACCCACCCAGUCUAUGAUAUUUUCUUGUGGCAGUGCUAGCAAACUAAUGCGCCAUGUUACUAACAUAAAAAUUAUUAAGGAGUGUAGUGGGUUGUAAGGUGGUUCCCCAGAAUUUAUGUUCACAUCCUAAUCCCUGGAACCCGCGCAUGUGACCUUAUCUGGAAAAAGGGUCUUUGCAGAUGUAAUUAAGUUAAGGAUCUCGAAAUAAAAUCAUUGGGAUUAUCUGGGUGGGCCCUAAAUCCAAUGACAAGUGUCCUUAUAAGAGAGAGAAGAGGAGGACAGAGACACAGAGGAGAAAGCCAUGUGAGUACAGAGGCAGAGAUCAGGGAUGCAGCCACAAGCCAAGGAAUGCUCAAGCCUUCUAAGGGAGCAUGGCUCUGCUAACACCUAGAUUUUGGAUUUCUGGCUCCAGAGCUGUGAGAGAAUAAGUUUCUGUUGUUUUAAACCACCAAAUCUGUGGUGAUUUGUUAUAGCAGUUCUAGGAAAUGAAUAUAAGGAGGUGCUUUAUGUUCUUUUUUCAUACUUUGAAAUGUGUUACGCAUUUUAUAUUCCAACACAGCUCAAUUCAGAGUAGACAAGUUCAUGCUAGUUGAUUUGGAAGGUGAUCCCAGAUAGCCAGAGUGAGGGAAGGGAUAGAGGCACAGGGAAGGGGGCCAAGAUGCAUUCUCAAGCUGGCCACUCCUACCCCCACCUUUCCUUUUGUAGCUUGUAUUUUAGUCUUGUGCCCAUGACCGUCAGCACCUUCCUGUUAGAAGCUGACUUCCAGGUCUCCCACUUAUGCUGAAGUCUGCUUCCAGGGCAGGGACUCUUUCAUCUACCUGGAAACUCCAAACUUCCUGUGCAGCCCCUCUCAGGGUGCUGGUGCCCAAAGCUGGGUGGAAUGACUAGUAUACUGUGAAGUUUCUCUAGUGAUGUUCCCAUUAGCAAGGAAUCCACAUCCACACUUCCGCAUAUCUUGUUUCCAUAGCAAAGUACCAAUUUCUGUUGGCUUAAACAACAGAAAUUUAUUGUCUCAAAUCUGAAAUCAAGGUGUUGGCAGUGUUGGUUUCUCCCAAGGGCUGUGAGAGAAGGAUUCAUUCCAGGCUUCUCUCCUUGCCUUAUAGAUAGUUGUCUUCUCCUUAUGUGUCUACCCUCUAUGAGUAUUUGUCUCUGUCCAAGUUUUUCCUUUUUAUAAGGACACCAUUUAUAUUAGGUUAUGGCCACCUUGAUGACCUCACUUUAACUUUUACCUCUAU